rnacentral:rRNA from 1 species
GACGAACGCUGGCGGCGUGUUUAACACAUGCAAGUCGAACGGAAAGGCCCCUUUGGGGGUACUCGAGUGGCGAACGGGUGAGUAACACGUGAGUAACCUGCCCUUGACUUCGGGAUAACUUCAGGAAACUGGGGCUAAUACCGGAUAGGAAUCCUUGCUGCAUGGUGGGGGUUGGAAAGCUUCGGCGGUUUUGGAUGGACUCGCGGCUUAUCAGCUUGUUGGUGUGGUAGUGGCUUACCAAGGCUUUGACGGGUAGCCGGCCUGAGAGGGCGACCGGCCACAUUGGGACUGAGAUACGGCCCAGACUCCUACGGGAGGCAGCAGGGGGGAAGCUUGAACAAUGGGCGGAAGCCUGAUGCAGCAACGCCGCGUGCGGGAUGACGGCCUUCGGGUUGUAAACCGCUUUCAGCAGGGGCGAAGCUUGUGGUGACGGUACCUGCAGAAGAAGCACCGGCUAACUACGUG